rnacentral:rRNA from 1 species
GAUGAACGCUGGCGGCGUGCCUAAUACAUGCAAGUCGAGCGAACAGAUGAGGAGCUUGCUCCUCUGACGUUAGCGGCGGACGGGUGAGUAACACGUGGAUAACCUACCUAUAAGACUGGGAUAACUUCGGGAAACCGGAGCUAAUACCGGAUAAUAUAUUGAACCGCAUGGUUCAAUAGUGAAAGACGGUUUUGCUGUCACUUAUAGAUGUAUCCGCGCCGCAUUAGCUAGUUGGUAAGGUAACGGCUUACCAAGGCAACGAUGCGUAGCCGACCUGAGAGGGUGAUCGGCCACACUGGAACUGAGACACGGUCCAGACUCCUACGGGAGGCAGCAGUAGGGAAUCUUCCGCAAAGGGCGAAAGCCUGACAGAGCAACGCCGCGUGAGUGAUGAAGGUCUUCGGAUCGUAAAACUCUGCUAUUAGGGAAGAACAAAUGUGUAAGUAACUAUGCACGUCUUGACGGUACCUAAUCAGAAAGCCACGGCUAACUACGUG